AUACUUACCUGGACAGGGUCAAUGGGCGAUCAAGAAGGCCCAUGGCCUAGCUUGGUGAUUUUCAUUGCACUUAGAAAGGAUGUUGAGCUAAGGUCUACCCAAGUUGGUGGAACUUAUGUCAUAAUUUGUUUUAGCGGAGGCCUGCGUACGCGCGGCCUCUA